rnacentral:rRNA from 1 species
UACGGAGGGGGCUAGCGUUGUCCGGAAUUACUGGGCGUAAAGCGCGCGCAGGCGGCUGAUCAAGCCUGACGUGAAAGCCCCCGGCUCAACCGGGGAGGGUCGUCGGGGACUGAUUGGCUUGAGGGCGGUAGGGGCCGGUGGAAUUCCCGGUGUAGUGGUGAAAUGCGUAGAGAUCGGGAGGAACACCAGUGGCGAAGGCGGCCGGCUGGGCCGACCCUGACGCUGAGGCGCGAAAGCUAGGGGAGCAAACGGG